AUUGAACGCUGGCGGCAGGCCUAACACAUGCAAGUCGAACGAGUGGCGGACGGGUGAGUAAUGUCUGGGAAACUGCCCGAUGGAGGGGGAUAACUACUGGAAACGGUAGCUAAUACCGCAUACCAUCGGAUGUGCCCAGAUGGGAUUAUCUAGUAGGUGGGGUAACGGCGAACCAGGGCGACGAUCCCUAGCUGGUCUUAGUGGAUGACCAGCCAAGCUGGGACUGAGACACGGUCCAGACUCGUACGGGAGGCAGCAGUGGGGAAUAUUGCACAGUGGGCGCAAGCCUGAUGCAGCCAGGCCGCGUGUAUGAAGAAGGCCUUCGGGGUGUAAAGUACUUUCAGCGAGGAGGCGUUACUCGCAGAAGAAGCACCGGCUAACUCCGUGCCAGCAGCCGCGGUAAUUC
rnacentral:rRNA from 1 species